AUGAACGCUGGCGGCGUGCCUAACACAUGCAAGUCGAGCGGCAGCGAGGGGUGCUUGCACCCUGUCGGCGAGCGGCGGACGGCUGAGUAACGCGUGGGAACGUGCCCCAAAGUGAGGAAUAACUGCCCGAAAGGGUAGCUAAUACCGCAUAUUAUCUUCGGAUCAAAGGAUUUAUCCGCUUUGGGAGCGGCUCGCGUCGGAUUAGGUAGUUGGUGAGGUAAUGGCUCACCAAGCCGACGAUCCGUAGCUGGUCUGAGAGGAUGACCAGCCAGACUGGAACUGAGACACGGUCCAGACUCCUACGGGAGGCAGCAGUGAGGAAUCUUCCACAAUGGGCGAAAGCCUGAUGGAGCAACGCCGCGUGCAGGACGAAGGCCUUCGGGUUGUAAACUGCUUUUAUAAGUGAGGAAUAUGACGGUAACUUAUGAACAAGGAUCGGCUAACUACGUG
rnacentral:rRNA from 1 species